AGUUUGAUCCUGGCUCAGGAUGAACGCUGGCGGCGUGCCUAAUACAUGCAAGUCGAACGCUUUGUGGUCCAACUGAUUUGAAGAGCUUGCUCAGAUAUGACGAUGGACAUUGCAAAGAGUGGCGAACGGGUGAGUAACACGUGGGAAACCUACCUCUUAGCAGGGGAUAACACUUGGAAACAAGUGCUAAUACCGUAUAACACUAAUAACCGCAUGGUUAUUAGUUAAAAGAUGGUCUUGCUAUCACUAAGAGAUGGUCCCGCGGUGUAUUAGCUAGUUGGUAAGGUAAUGGCUUACCAAGGCAAUGAUACAUAGCCGAGUUGAGAGACUGAUCGGCCACAAUGGGACUGAGACACGGCCCAUACUCCUACGGGAGGCAGCAGUAGGGAAUCUUCCACAAUGGACGAAAGUCUGAUGGAGCAACGCCGCGUGUGUGAUGAAGGGUUUCGGCUCGUAAAACACUGUUGUAAGAGAAGAAUGACAUUGAGAGUAACUGUUCAGUGUGUGACGGUAUCUUACCAGAAAGGAACGGCUAAAUACGUGCCAGCAGCCGCGGUAAUACGUAUGUUCCAAGCGUUAUCCGGAUUUAUUGGGCGUAAAGCGAGCGCAGACGGUUAUUUAAGUCCGAAGUGAAAGCCCACAGCUUAACUGUGGAAGUGCUUUGGAAACUGGAUAACUUGAGUGCAGUAGAGGAGAGUGGAACUCCAUGUGUAGCGGUGAAAUGCGUAGAUAUAUGGAAGACACCAGUGGGCGAACGCGGCUCUCUGGACUGUAACUGACGUUGAGCUCG
rnacentral:rRNA from 1 species